rnacentral:lncRNA from 1 species
AAGGGCUGAAGCAGUGCAGUGGUGUGCAAGGGGAACCUGUUUGCCCUCAAUUAUUAAAGAACGCACUCCCCAAACACUGUUUGUCCUGACUAACCAGCACAUUGCUUUAUCUGCUAAUGAGCUGACUUCCCUGUUAUUCCAAGAGGCACCACAAAUUGCCAGGUGCUUGUACUGCUCAUUUUCCCAGAGGAAGAGCUGCUGUAGGGAACCUAGGCCAGCAGCAAGCCAUGACAGCAAUGGACUUUGGUCCUUUUAGGAGGCAACCCACAGAGAUUUCUCCAGGUACAUGUGCGUAUCUAUAGCAACCUCAAGAGAAAAAUAUGGAUCUGUUACAAAGUGCCGAAAUUGCAGCUUUUUUUCUUUGCUUCAGAUAUCACCUGGAAAGCCAUGCAGAACAUCAUGACAUUCAAGGCUGGAAUUUCUUCUGGGAAUGGCAUAAAACUGAAGUCUUUGCUGAGGUCAAGGACAAUUGAGCUAGACUCCAGGCAGCCGUGUUUGUUGCUAUCCUGCCGACCCCUGCGGGCGCUGGGACCUCAGGGCUGGGGCUGCGUGGCAAAGAGCGCAGGUUGGUGCUGUCACAAUUGUUUGAAGGAUGAAGAAAAAACAACGGGUGAAGAACAGGAAGGCGCAGGAAUAAGGUUUAAGGUCUGCCACAGCUGUAAGGGCCUGGAAGCAGGAGAGGAAUUUCAGAGGAAGAACUGAUGUGAUACUCAGAAACAUGAUGCAGAUCAUCAAGGCUCAAACCAUAGCACAGCUGCUCUUAUCCUGAUGGCUCUUCCAUUUCCCAGCUUCCCCUAGAAUAAAACUUUUGUUUAUUCACA